UCCCUCAUCACCAGCCGCAGCACUAGAAGAUUUGCCACCGACGAGAUCCAGCGCCUGGCAAGGUCCUCGGGUCGGCUAUCGCUCCCACCACUCCGUCGGCCAGAUCUGCACCCUUGACUCCCUCUUCUCUCGCGUCGCGCGGUGCCUCUGCUCCACCAUGCGGCGGUUACCUCAUGGAUGACAGGGCCAUGGAUCUGUCCUUGAAGGAGAGAAGGAAUAUGACGGAGAGAGAACAGAGAAGGAAGGAGAGGCGGGAGAAGGAGAGAGGAAAGAGGAGAGGGAGGUGCAGCGGCAGAUGGGAGAUGGUCAUCGGCCGACAUUAGUCAUUCAGCCAUUCGCAUCUCUCCUCUUCUCCUGCUCUCGACCACCAAUGCACCCCCUCCUCUUUCCCUUCUCUUCUCACCAUCUCCUCUUCUAUGGAGCUAGCUGAGUGAUCCACGGUGAGGAAGAUGGGGAAGACAGAGCCAACACCGCCGAUGCCCACGGGCCACUUCAGUCAGGUGCCUUCCAUACUUCCUCCUUCAGGAUUUUCAAUCCAAGAGCAUAAAAUGAAGCCGGAAACAGGGAUGAUGGGAGAAACAAUGGUGGCUGAACAGUGGACAACCGAAGCUGGCUGAGAAAGAGGGAGGCAGUGCGUGGCAGAAGAGGGAGUCCAUGUGGUAUCCGUUUCUGGUCAUCUUCAGCUUGCAGGUGGGCGGAUUACUAAAAUUGUAGCCAGUCCAUACUACAUGCUCCCAGAGAUUCUGAACAGGGAGUAGCACAAGCAAUUAUGUGCUCUGUGGUAGAUUUCAAAAGAGACCCAAGGCCCGGAGUAUCUGAGCCUGCUAAAGACUUUGUUCGACAGACGCUAGAUCCAGAUCCAAUCACACGGUUUACUACAACACACGUACUCAGUGGUGUCUGUCGGUAGGGUCUCCCUAAACAUGCGUCAUCAAAUCCAAUUGCAAGCUACACGACAAGCUAUGAUUGAAUACCAUGUACAAGUAUGGGGACAGAAUAGUAAACAACAAAUAAAGGAUACUAGACGGAGAUAUUGGACGGACGCAUGGAGCAUGAACUCAUUUUUUUCAGGGGCCACCUUACUUGUGUGCCCUCAGGCUGAGGAGACCUUUCUAAGUGUACAUGGAGGAUGUGAAAGCGACGACAGAGGAGCUUGCUGUAGCUGCUCGCUUGCUCCGGGAAUCGCCCCUCCUGACAGAAGCAAGCACGAUGCCAUGUCCUAGAGUCUACUUAUUUUAGGUAGCAUUGCUUUCUGGAAUACAUCAUUGGAACCUAGUAACAUUCACUGCUUACAGUCAGCAAGACAAGAAGAACGUGAUUGUGUAUGAGUUCAUGCACAACAAAAGCAUCACCUUAGCUGAUGUUAAAUUUGCUCCGUGGAAUCAACAACACGCUAUUGUAUAUGCACGUGUUAUUAAUGUGGUGAGUGAUUGAAGAGGAGGCAUGAGGAGAAGAGCAGUCCAAAGGGCGGGUGGAGCAUGUGACUUGUGGAUGUUAGUUUUCAUUUCCGGAAGAAUAAAUUUUCUAUGAUUUGAGUGUAUGCUGAUGUGUGAAAGUCAAUCAUUUGGAUUCCCAACUAGACUAUUCUAUGUGUUCAAUAUUUUAUUGUGCAUUGAUAAAAUGUUUCACUGCCAGUGUGCACAAGUUGAAUUUUGAAACAGAUGAGAGGACAACUCUGCAUAAAGCUUUGUUCGGUUACACCUCUUCCCACAGGGAUUGUAGGGGAUUUGGGGGGAAUUUGACUUGUAGGAGAUCUAAUCCCCCCUCGAUCCCUGCCAAACCUCUUCAAUUCCCUGUGAACCGAACACAGCUUAAGGGAGUUUGCUCUUUAGGAAGGUUCUUGUUUGCUGUUGUUAUUAAAAGUAGGAAAUUUAUAUACAUAUAACAGUUGCUCAAGCUAAAGUCUUAUGUAACAUGUAACAUCUGAACUCUCUUUGUGCUAAUAUUUU